AAACUUUCAACAACGGAUCUCUUGGCUCUGGCAUCGAUGAAGAACGCAGCGAAAUGCGAUACGUAAUGCGAAUUGCAGAAUUCAGCGAGUCAUCGAAUCUUUGAACGCACAUUGCGCCCGCCAGCAUUCUGGCGGGCAUGCCUGUCCGAGCGUCAUUUCC
rnacentral:rRNA from 1 species